rnacentral:rRNA from 1 species
CCUACGGGAGGCAGCAGUGAGGAAUAUUGGUCAAUGGGCGAGAGCCUGAACCAGCCAAGUCGCGUGAGGGAGUACUGCCCUAUGGGUUGUAAACCUCUUUUGUCGGGGAGCAAAAGCCGGACGUGUCCGGCGGUGAGAGUACCCGAAGAAAAAGCAUCGGCUAACUCCGUGCCAGCAGCCGCGGUAAUACGGAGGGCCGGGCGUGUUCCGGAUUUAUUGGGUUUAAAGGGAGCGUAGGCGGCAUGUCAAGCGUGCUGUGAAAUGUCCGGGCGCACCCCGGGCCUUGCAGCGAGAACUGGCGUGCUUGAGUCGGCGGGAAGCAGGCGGAAUUCGUCGUGUAGCGGUGAAAUGCUUAGAUAUGACGAAGAACCCCGAUUGCGAAGGCAGCUUGCUGCAGCGGAACUGACGCUGAUGCUCGAAAGCGCGGGUAUCGAACAGGAUUAGAUACCCUGGUAGUC